rnacentral:rRNA from 1 species
UACGUAGGGUGCGAGCGUUAAUCGGAAUUACUGGGCGUAAAGGGCGCGUAGGUGGAUACAUAAGUCAGGUGUGAAAGACCUGGGCUUAACCUGGGGGAGUCAUUUGAGACUGUGUAUCUAGAGUAGAGUAAAGGGGAGUGGAAUUUCCGGUGUAGCGGUGAAAUGCGUAGAUAUCGGAAAGAACACCGGUGGCGAAGGCGGCUCCCUGGGCUCAUACUGACACUGAGGCGCGAAAGCGUGGGUAGCGAACAGG